UUUCCUGCUGUCCACAGACCAGUUCCGUGUGAUGAGGUUUCUACCCGCAGCCUCGCUCUGUGCUGUGACCUGCUGGCCUCCGUGUGUCACGUGUCCCUGCAGGUCUGUGAUGAUGCUCUGGGCUGCCACCUACAGGUCAUCAUUGGAACUCUAACUGCUCAGGUGACCAGCCGACCCUCCAUCUCAGAGCAGGUGCUGAGUCUGCUGCAGUUUCUUGUCAUAGAAAAUCAGCAGACGUUAAAGGAAGCCAUCAGAGGGUUGGAGCCUUUCCCUAAUAUCCCUGAAUUCAGAGAGCUGCGGGCUGUACAGCACAAACUCAAAUAUAACGCUGGCACCUUCAGUCUGAGACAGGAGAUCGCCCACUUUCUGUCAGUGACGUCCUGUGACUCCUUACCUCUGACUAGACUGGAGGGGUUAAAGGAGCUCACCAGACAGCUGCAUGACAACAAAGGACAGAUCAGAGAGCUCCUUAAAGAGUGCCACGCCGAUGCGAGCGACAGUGUGCUGGUGAAGUUGGUCCUCAAUCUGCUGCAGCUCUGUAAACUAGCAGCCGGCCACCCUGGAGGAGCUGACAUUCAGGAGGCGGCAGGCAGCUGUUUAGGAGAACUGGGUCC